CAUGGCAUGUUAAGGAAAGAUUUGGGACUAUAGGCAAGCGCAUACAUUUUAAAUGACAAAGUACUUUGAAAUGCCGGUGUUCAAUUUCAAUAGCUCAAGGGAGAAAACAAAGCAGGUACCUGCUCAAUUUUCCAUGGGAUGAUACUAAGAAGCAAGAAAUUAUUAGGACUGAGAAAAAGCAACAACUUUUCAGAACUUACUACCACUGUGACAUAGUAGGAAGUCUACUUGAUGGGGAGCCAGGAAAUCCAGAUACCCAUUUCAACUCUGCUAAAUCACAAUGGCCACGCCAGGCCUCAUCCAUGUUUUAAAAUCCUUCUCUUACAUUACUUCCUUCAUGUAGCUUUUCCCAAGUCAUACUGUCGCUGCCUCUCCCACGUUUGCACCUAAUAAAACUUUCAGCGGGUCUCUUA